GAUGAACGCUGGCGGCGUGCCCAAUACAUGCAAGUCGAGCGAACAGAUGAGGAGCUUGCUCCUCUGACGUUAGCGGCGGACGGGUGAGUAACACGUGGAUAACCUACCUAUAAGACUGGGAUAACUUCGGGAAACCGGAGCUAAUACCGGAUAAUAUAUUGAACCGCAUGGUUCAAUAGUGAAAGACGGUUUUGCUGUCACUUAUAGAUGGAUCCGCGCCGCAUUAGCUAGUUGGUAAGGUAACGGCUUACCAAGGCAACGAUGCGUAGCCGACCUGAGAGGGUGAUCGGCCACACUGGAACUGAGACACGGUCCAGACUCCUACGGGAGGCAGCAGUAGGGAAUCUUCCGCAAUGGGCGAAAGCCUGACGGAGCAACGCCGCGUGAGUGAUGAAGGUCUUCGGAUCGUAAAACUCUGUUAUUAGGGAAGAACAAAUGUGUAAGUAACUAUGCACGUCUUGACGGUACCUAAUCAGAAAGCCACGGCUAACUACGUG
rnacentral:rRNA from 1 species